rnacentral:rRNA from 1 species
UACGUAGGUGGCGAGCGUUGUCCGGAUUUACUGGGCGUAAAGUGCGCGCAGGCGGUCGUUCAAGUCGCGUGUGAAAGCCCCCGGCUCAACUGGGGAGGGUCACGCGAUACUGAUCGACUCGAAGGCAGGAGAGGGUAGUGGAAUUCCCGGUGUAGUGGUGAAAUGCGUAGAUAUCGGGAGGAACACCAGUGGCGAAGGCGACUACCUGGCCUGUUCUUGACGCUGAGGCGCGAAAGCUAGGGGAGCAAACGGG